rnacentral:rRNA from 1 species
UGACUCAACCAGAAGACGGACUCGUUAACCGUARGGAGACGACCGGCGAAGGUGGGGUUGGUGACUGGGGUGAAGUCGUAACAAGGUAGCMGUAGGUGAACCUGCAGAAGGAUCA